GAUGAACGCUGGCGGCGUGCCUAAUACAUGCAAGUCGAGCGAACGGACGAGAAGCUUGCUUUUCUGAUGUUAGCGGCGGACGGGUGAGUAACACGUGGAUAACCUACCUAUAAGACUGGGAUAACUUCGGGAAACCGGAGCUAAUACCGGAUAAUAUUUUGAACCGCAUGGUUCAAAAGUGAAAGACGGUCUUGCUGUCACUUAUAGAUGGAUCCGCGCUGCAUUAGCUAGUUGGUAAGGUAACGGCUUACCAAGGCAACGAUGCAUAGCCGACCUGAGAGGGUGAUCGGCCACACUGGAACUGAGACACGGUCCAGACUCCUACGGGAGGCAGCAGUAGGGAAUCUUCCGCAAUGGGCGCAAGCCUGACCGAGCCACGCCGCGUGAGUGAUGAAGGUCUUCGGAUCGUAAAGCUCUGUUAUUGGGGAAGAACAUAUGUGUAAGUAUCUGUGCACGUCUUGACGGUACCUAAUCAGAAAGCCACGGCUAACUACGUG
rnacentral:rRNA from 1 species